GUCACCCUGGUGUGACUUGGGACUGGGCUGUAAGGUGAGUGAGGUGUGGCUGGAGACAGAGCCCAGUGUAGCAUUGAGAGCUGCAGGAGAAGCUGCCUGGUCUGGACCAGAAUGAUUUUGACACCUGGGGUACAGGUCAGCAAUAGAUGAUGCAAGAACAAGGCUGAACUUCCAGCCCAUUAGGCUCUUGGAGCCAGGCAGCAGACAGGGUGAUGUGGUGUGUCUGCAUACCUCCCCCAGGCACUGGAGAAGAGGUAAGAUGCAAAACCCUUCCUGCAGUGCGAGGAGUUACAAGAUCCUUCUCAUCUUCAAGGGAACACACUGCUGCCACAGGGGCGCCAUGGGACAAGCCCAUGGACUGCAGGAAUCACUCCUAGGAGAGACUGAGCUGGCAAAAGGAGAAGGUAUUUGCAAAGCCUUCUGAAAUGCUGCCCCCCUGGCUAAAAGUGAUAGGCACCUUGAAGGCACCUGAAGGACUUCUGAGCCACUCCAGACAACUCCCCAGUGCUGUGUGAAACAAGGAAUUUGGCUCAGUUGGGAAAGCAGAGGUUUGUCGGAGCCUGGUGUCCCACUGGAACAGGGGAGUUCCUAAUCCUCCAGCUUGAAGUGUUUGUCUCUUCUAUCAGCCUUGGCAGUGAGGCAGUUUAAGGGAUCACUCCACACUUCUGUUGGCAUUAACAUCUAUUUUCCCUAGGUAAGCAGGAGUUACUGAACUGGUUUAGGUGACUGUGACUGGAGUCCCUGUGAACAGAAUGUGAGUUAUUCUGGCACAGCUACAGUGGGAAAGUGCUAAUCUGCACUUGUUAAACCUUUUAAUUAAAGAUCACUUUGAUGAAACGUGCAAGGUUGAGAGGUCGGGGGUUUGCUACAGCACUCACCAGAGACCCAAGAAACAGCAGCUGUGAGUGGUGGUGGGCUUUGAGACUUGUCCUUUGGAGCUCUAGUGGAAAAGAUGAAGAGGCAACAGAGCCUAUGCUCUCCAUCUGUAUGGGGCAAAGUUAGACCCAAAUUCCUCUGGGUCAAGCUGAUUCACAGCUGAGCAGGAAAGGUGACCUAGAACUGCCCCACAUCAGUGAUUUCAUGUAAGUCAUCUGACUGAUGUGUGAGGGAUUCAUCAAAAGAGGGAAAUGAAUAACUUCCAAAAACACCUUGGAGGACUGGGUUCUCAGAUGAAAACACUAAAAAUGUGAGGAACCCAGGAAGAAAAGGCUACAUUAGUGCAGCCGCACAGGCAUGUGGCUCCUCUGGAAAGAAUAAGAAUGCUGUGAAUUCUGAUUGUUUGCUUGACCUUUUUUUUUAUCCUGUGGUAUUUACAGCGCCACGGUACUCAUUCAGCUCUCCCAGCUAACAGCUAGGGAGGUAGAUGGAGCUGCCUGGAAUCCUGGCAUCAGAUACUUGACAGGCACCCUCCUGCUUCAGGCAUCCUGCAGGAGGCAGGAGGGCAGCAGGCAGCUUGGAUGUGCUCCUGUGUGGGGAACAGGACCCCAACAGAGUGAGGAUUCCCCUGUGCACCUGCCCCACUGACUUCUGGAAGAAGUUCCUCUCAAACAUGUGUGGCAUUCCCAGGCAUCACUCCUAUAUCCCUGGGGAAAUACUGACCCUGAUGGCAGAAUGUGGUGUGUUUGAGAUGCCAAAGACACCAAACUACUGUUUGCUGGGGUCUCCAGACUGCCAGACUGGCUGCCAGCUUGUUAAACACACACUGAUGUGCCAUUAGGGAGCUCAAGUGUCAUCAGUGUUAUAAACCUGAACCUGUAGCUUAAUUUAGGGGCUUGUCAGACAUAUGGUAAUGGGCUGGUAAGGCUUGGUGAAAGGUGGCUCUUGCAGGCAUCUGUACCUUUUUAAUCUCUGUAUACAAUAAAAUAUUACACAUUAGCUUUUGCUCUUGCUGGCAGAUUUCUUGUGGGAAGAUCUACUUUGGGACUUCAGUAGCGCUGAAUACUGAGCAAGUGACAGAAAUAGGGAGUUUGGAGCAAUGUCUCUGCUGGCAUAACUCCAUUACAGCCAGAGGGUGAAAUCCCAGCCCUGUUGAGAUGCACGGGACUUGUGCCAGGCUUCAGCUGCUGAGAACUCUGUUAGCAACUCAUCCCUGAUUUUGCUUUGGACUGAAACCUCCCUGUGGAUCUCUGCCUAGAAACACUUGCAUCUUUCACACAGAAGAAAAAUGUUCUGCAGCAAGCAAGCGAGCUUGGAAAUGAUUUAAACUUCAUCAGUGGAA